rnacentral:rRNA from 1 species
ACGAACGCUGGCGGCAGGCUUAACACAUGCAAGUCGAGCGAGGACUUCGGUUCUAGCGGCGGACGGGUGAGUAACGCGUGGGAACGUGCCCUUUUCUACGGAAUAGCCUCGGGAAACUGAGAGUAAUAUCGUAUACGCCCUUUUGGGGAAAGAUUUAUCGGAGAAGGAUCGGCCCGCGUUGGAUUAGGUAGUUGGUGGGGUAAUGGCCUACCAAGCCGACGAUCCAUAGCCGGUUUGAGAGGAUGAUCAGCCACACUGGGACUGAGACACGGCCCAGACUCCUACGGGAGGCAGCAGUGGGGAAUCUUAGACAAUGGGGGCAACCCUGAUCUAGCCAUGCCGCGUGAGUGAUGAAGGCCUUAGGGUUGUAAAGCUCUUUCAGCUGGGAAGAUAAUGACGGUACCAGCAGAAGAAGCCCCGGCUAACUCCGU